rnacentral:rRNA from 3 species
GGGUGAGUAAUGUCUGGGAAACUGCCUGAUGGAGGGGGAUAACUACUGGAAACGGUAGCUAAUACCGCAUAACGUCGCAAGACCAAAGAGGGGGACCUUCGGGCCUCUUGCCAUCAGAUGUGCCCAGAUGGGAUUAGCUAGUAGGUGGGGUAACGGCUCACCUAGGCGACGAUCCCUAGCUGGUCUGAGAGGAUGACCAGCCACACUGGAACUGAGACACGGUCCAGACUCCUACGGGAGGCAGCAGUGGGGAAUAUUGCACAAUGGGCGCAAGCCUGAUGCAGCCAUGCCGCGUGUAUGAAGAAGGCCUUCGGGUUGUAAAGUACUUUCAGCGGGGAGGAAGGCGUUGAGGUUAAUAACCUCAGCGAUUGACGUUACCCGCAGAAGAAGCACCGGCUAACUCCGUGCCAGCAGCCGCGGUAAUACGGAGGGUGCAAGCGUUAAUCGGAAUUACUGGGCGUAAAGCGCACGCAGGCGGUCUGUCAAGUCGGAUGUGAAAUCCCCGGGCUCAACCUGGGAACUGCAUUCGAAACUGGCAGGCUAGAGUCUUGUAGAGGGGGGUAGAAUUCCAGGUGUAGCGGUGAAAUGCGUAGAGAUCUGGAGGAAUACCGGUGGCGAA